CCCACGCUACUACGAGCGUGUCCACCGCCGCACCAUCCACUCCCACCCCACCAAACUCUCUCGCGAAACCUAAAAAAACUCUCUCUCACCAAUCUCACCCCACCCCUCGGUCGAGCUACUCUCCCCCACGAUCUCCUCGCCGCCGCCGCUGCCGCCCACGCCGGCACGCUCGUCGCCGCUGCCACCGCCCACACCGGCACGCUCGUCGUCGCCGUCGUCGUCUCGGGAUCUACCUCCUCAUCGGCUUCCUCUCCCCCAUGGUCGACCCCAAGCUCGACCCGUCCGUGGCCCAUGACGGGCACGCCCUCCCCAACCGCAGAUCUGGCGAGUUCAAGCACUUCGUCAGGAGGCUCCCGGAGUUCAAGUUCUGUCAGAGGGGAGAAAGCUAAGAACCUUGGCCUUUAAGUUCUUGCAAGGAUCAGAGGAUAUGCUGAUGCUACUCAGGUAAAUCUUACAUGCCUCGUCGUGGGCACAUGGGUGAUCGACGUGGACUACUGCGGCCUGGUGGGCGUCGUGCUAUUCAACCACUCGGAGGCAGACUUCAUCGUGAAGCCCGGCGACCACGCCGCACAGAUGAUUGUCCAGGUCAUUGCGACGCCGGAGGUCGCCGAGGUGGAGGACCUCGACGCCACCGUCCGGCGGGAGGGAGUGCUCGGAUCCACCGGCGUUUGAACUCCUAGCCUUGGUAGAUACAUCUAGAGAAGUGGUCUAGUUGUUUGCAUCUGAUGUUUAAUGGGAUCUCGAGUUGAGAUGUUGAAUGCUGUAUCCAUGAAUGCUGCAAGUGCUAAGAUGGUUCUGUGAACUUAGUUUAUUUGCACUGGA